AUGUUAAGGCCCAAAGUUGUUAUAUGGGCUUAGAAAACAAAUAUACCUCUAGAACUAGGGUUUUCAAGGGUAUAUAUUCACAGUCACGCUUCAUUUCCUCUCUUUGUUACCUACCGUCUCCGUGAAUUCGCCGGUUAGGGUUCUGAGAAAAAAAGAGCUUUCUCCGCCAUGAGAGCCAAGUGGAAGAAGAAGCGUAUGAGGAGGCUGAAGAGGAAGAGACGAAAGAUGAGACAGCGAUCUAAGUAGACACAUAGAGAGAUGACUCUUCCUGAAGACAUUGCUUUUCCAUCUGCUUCCUUUGUUUCCGUCAUUUCAGACAUCGUUAAAAGUACUUUUGUUCGUAGCUUUGCUUUUUGUCGGAUUGUAGGGAUCCUCACAAUUAAUGGCAAUGCUAUUAUGUUUUUAUUC